rnacentral:rRNA from 1 species
CCUACGGGCGGCAGCAGUGAGGAAUAUUGGUCAAUGGACGGAAGUCUGAACCAGCCAUGCCGCGUGCAGGAAGACGGCCCUAUGAGUUGUAAACCGCUUUUGCACGAGGGUAAACGUGAAUACGUGUCUUCAGCUGAAAGUACUGUACGAAAAAAGAACGGCUAAAUCCGUGCCAGGAGCCGCGGUAAUACGGAGGGUCCAAGCGUUAUUCGGAUUUAUUUGGGUUAAAGGGUGCGUAGGUUGAGAGAUAAGAUCGAGGUGAAAUGUCCGAGCUUAACUCGGGAACUGCCUCUAAUACUGGUGGUCUAGAGAGUAGGUGCGGUAGGCGGAAUGUAUGGUGUAGCGGUGAAAUGCGUAGAGAUCAUACAGAACACCGAUUGCGAAGGCAGCUUACCAAUCUAUAUCUGACGUUGAGGCACGAAAGCGUGGGGAGCAAACAGGAUUAGAUACCCCUGUAGUC